rnacentral:lncRNA from 1 species
GCACAUGCUGUAAUAGAUGGUACUGUGCGUGCUCUUCAUCCGGCAAGAUUUCAGAGGUAGGAUUUUUUGGUUAUACGAUUAUUUUAUUAAGGAUUGAUUAUGCAAAUAAAUCUCAAACUAUUUGGGAGUUUUUAAUUUGAUCAUGAACUUCAAUUUAGUAUAAACAGACCAUCAAACUUUUCAAUUCAUUUAAUUCAUACCUUAGCCGUAGAUUUUAUGUAGCAGUCACCAUAAAAUUAUUAUGUGAUGUUACC